rnacentral:rRNA from 1 species
GCCCCAGACUCCUACGGGAGGCAGCAGUGGGGGAUAUUGCACAAUGGGGGAAACCCUGAUGCAGCGACGCCGCGUGAGUGAAGAAGUAUUUCGGUAUGUAAAGCUCUAUCAGCAGGGACGAAAAUGACGGUACCCGAGUAAGAAGCCCCGGCUAACUACGUGCCAGCAGCCGCGGUAAUACGUAGGGGGCAAGCGUUAUCCGGAUUUACUGGGUGUAAAGGGAGCGUAGACGGUUAUGCAAGUCUGGAGUGAAAGGCGGGGGCUUAACCCCGGAACGGCUUUGGAAACUGAGCAGCUAGAGUGCUGGAGAGGUAAGCGGAAUUCCUAGUGUAGCGGUGAAAUGCGUAGAUAUUAGGAGGAACACCAGUGGCGAAGGCGGCUUACUGGACAGUAACUGACGUUGAGGCUCGAAAGCGUGGGGAGCGAACAGGAUUAGAUACCCCGGUAU